rnacentral:rRNA from 1 species
ACGGAAGGCAGCAGUGGGGAAUAUUGCACAAUGGGGGAAACCCUGAUGCAGCAACGCCGCGUGAGUGAAGAAGUAUUUCGGUAUGUAAAGCUCUAUCAGCAGGGAAGAUAAUGACGGUACCUGACUAAGAAGCACCGGCUAAAUACGUGCCAGCAGCCGCGGUAAUACGUAUGGUGCAAGCGUUAUCCGGAUUUACUGGGUGUAAAGGGUGCGUAGGUGGCAUGGUAAGUCAGAUGUGAAAUACCGGGGCUCAACCCCGGGGCUGCAUUUGAAACUGCCAGGCUGGAGUACAGGAGAGGCAAGCGGAAUUCCUAGUGUAGCGGUGAAAUGCGUAGAUAUAUGGAGGAACACCGGUGGCGAAAGCGGCUCUCUGGUCUGUAACUGACGCUGAGGCUCGAAAGCGUGGGGAGCAAACAGGAUUAGAUACCCUGGUA